rnacentral:rRNA from 1 species
CUCAGGACGAACGCUGGCGGCGUGCCUAACACAUGCAAGUCGAGCGGGGACAUUGCGACGGACAUGAAGUUUUCGGAUGGAUUGAAAGAUGUAAUGUUCUAGCGGCGGACGGGUGAGUAACGCGUGAGCAACCUGUCCCUUACAGGGGGAUAACACAGCGAAAGUUGUACUAAUACCGCAUGAGACCACAGAGCGACAUCGCUUAGGGGUCAAAGGAGCAAUCCGGUAAGGGGUGGGCUCGCGUCCGAUUAGAUAGUUGGUGAGGUAACGGCCCACCAAGUCGACGAUCGGUAGCCGACCUGAGAGGGUGAUCGGCCCCCUUGGGAAUGAGACCCGGCCCCAACUCCUUCGGGAGGCAGCAGUGGGGAAUAUUGGGCAAUGGGGGAAACCCUGACCCAGCAACGCCGCGUGAGGGAAGAAGGUUUUCGGAUCGUAAACCUCUGUCCUUGGUGAAGAGAAAGAGACGGUAGCCAAGGAGGAAGCCCCGGCUAACUACGUGCCAGCAGCCGCGGUAAUACGUAGGGGGCGAGCGUUGUCCGGAAUGAUUGGGCGUAAAGGGCGCGUAGGCGGCCCGGUAAGUCUGAAGUGAAAGUCCUGCUUUUAAGGUGGGAAUUGCUUUGGAUACUGUCGGGCUUGAGUGCAGGAGAGGUAAGUGGAAUUCCCAGUGUAGCGGUGAAAUGCGUAGAGAUUGGGAGGAACACCAGUGGCGAAGGCGACUUACUGGACUGUAACUGACGCUGAGGCGCGAAAGUGUGGGGAGCAAACAAGAUUAUAUACCCUGGUAGUCCACACUGUAAACGAUGAAUGCUAGGUGUAGGGGGUAUCGACCCCUUCUGUGCCGCAGUUAACACAAUAAGCAUUCCGCCUG